rnacentral:rRNA from 1 species
GAUCGGCCACACUGGAACUGAGACACGGUCCAGACUCCUACGGGAGGCAGCAGUAGGGAAUCUUCCGCAAUGGGCGAAAGCCUGACGGAGCAACGCCGCGUGAGUGAUGAAGGUCUUCGGAUCGUAAAACUCUGUUAUUAGGGAAGAACAUAUGUGUAAGUAACUGUGCACAUCUUGACGGUACCUAAUCAGAAAGCCACGGCUAACUACGUGCCAGCAGCCGCGGUAAUACGUAGGUGGCAAGCGUUAUCCGGAAUUAUUGGGCGUAAAGCGCGCGUAGGCGGUUUUUUAAGUCUGAUGUGAAAGCCCACGGCUCAACCGUGGAGGGUCAUUGGAAACUGGAAAACUUGAGUGCAGAAGAGGAAAGUGGAAUUCCAUGUGUAGCGGUGAAAUGCGCAGAGAUAUGGAGGAACACCAGUGGCGAAGGCGACUUUCUGGUCUGUAACUGACGCUGAUGUGCGAAAGCGUGGGGAUCAAACAGGAUUAGAU